rnacentral:rRNA from 1 species
CGCAGUAGCAAUACUGAGUGGCAGACGGGUGAGUAACAUGUGGGAAUCUGCCUUGUGGUUCAGGACAACAUUGGGAAACCGAUGCUAAUACUGGAUAAGCCCUUACGGGGAAAGUUUUAAUGCCAUAAGAUGAGCCCGCAUUUGAUUAGUUAGUUGGUGAGGUAAUGGCUCACCAAGACAAUGAUCAAUAGCUGAUCUGAGAGGAUGAUCAGCCACACUGGGACUGAGACACGGCCCAGACUCCUACGGGAGGCAGCAGUGGGGAAUCUUGCACAAUGGAGGAAACUCUGAUGCAGCGAUGCCGCGUGAGUGAAGAAGGCCUUUGGGUUGUAAAGCUCUUUUGUAGGGGAAGAUAAUGACUGUACCCUAAGAAUAAGGUCCGGCUAACUUCGUGCCAGCAGCCGCGGUAAUACGAAGGGACCUAGCGUAGUUCGGAAUUACUGGGCGUAAAGCGCGCGUAGGCCGUUGAGUUAGUUAAUUGUGAAAU